AACCGUCUACAAAAGAAUCCGACCCAACGACUCCUCCACCGCCAAAUUCUAUGGACUACCAAAAAUUCACAAAGAAAACAACCCGCUAUGACCGAUUGUAUCUCUUCCUGGAUCACCAACGAAGAAAUCAAAAUAGCUGUGAUGGUGGAGAUGAGUAUCCUGAUUUCAUGCCUAUUCCUUUCCGCUACGCUGCGAGAAAUUCAAGAGUUCCGAUUGAGUUUGAGGUGUUGCAGAUGAUUGCGAAAAGAAGGGUUUGAUUAAGUUUUCAAGGUACGUAAUAAAUUGGACGGCUGUUUCUAUGUGAUAAAAGAAAUCCUUUGAAUCCUGAAAUUGUGCUGUUUAAUCGCAAAAUUACUCGAGAGAGAAGAAGUUACUUUCUAGAUUGAAUCAUGAAAAUAUUGUAAGUUUACCUAUGUACAAAUAUUAUGUUGGAUAUGUACAAAGGCAAGUGUCUUCGGGUAAUUUGAAUUUCCCAAAGGAAAU